rnacentral:rRNA from 1 species
AUACGGAGGAUGCGAGCGUUAUCCGGAUUUAUUGGGUUUAAAGGGUGCGUAGGCGGCCUUGUAAGUCAGCGGUGAAAUUUUGCAGCUUAACUGUAAAAGUGCCGUUGAUACUGUGAGGCUAGGAUUUGGUUGCUGUGGGUGGAAUGUGUGGUGUAGCGGUGAAAUGCUUAGAGAUCACACAGAAUAUCGAUUGCGAAGGCAGCUCACAAAGCAAAGAUUGAGGCUGAGGCACGAAAGUGUGGGGAUCAAACAGGAUUAGAUUCCCUGGUAGUCCACGCCGUAAACGAUGGGCGCUCGUCGUCGGCGGCAGACAGUCGGCGGCCAAGCGAAAGCGAUAAGCGCCCCACCUGGGGAGUACGGUCGCAAGGCUGAAACUCAAAUGAAUUGGCGGGG